GUAACCUGCCCCGGAGCGGGGGAUAACAUUUGGAAACAGAUGCUAAUACCGCAUAACAACAAAAGCCACAUGGCUUUUGUUUGAAAGAUGGCUUUGGCUAUCACUCUGGGAUGGACCUGCGGUGCAUUAGCUAGUUGGUAAGGUAACGGCUUACCAAGGCGAUGAUGCAUAGCCGAGUUGAGAGACUGAUCGGCCACAAUGGAACUGAGACACGGUCCAUACUCCUACGGGAGGCAGCAGUAGGGAAUCUUCCACAAUGGGCGCAAGCCUGAUGGAGCAACACCGCGUGAGUGAAGAAGGGUUUCGGCUCGUAAAGCUCUGUUGUUGGAGAAGAACGUGCGUGAGAGUAACUGUUCACGCAGUGACGGUAUCCAACCAGAAAGUCACGGCUAACUACGUGCCAGCAGCCGCGGUAAUACGUAGGUGGCAAGCGUUAUCCGGAUUUAUUGGGCGUAAAGCGAGCGCAGGCGGUUGCUUAGGUCUGAUGUGAAAGCCUUCGGCUUAACCGAAGAAGUGCAUCGGAAACCGGGCGACUUGAGUGCAGAAGAGGACAGUGGAACUCCAUGUGUAGCGGUGGAAUGCGUAGAUAUAUGGAAGAACACCAGUGGCGAAGGCGGCUGUCUGGUCUGCAACUGACGCUGAGGCUCGAAAGCAUGGGUAGCGAACAGGAUUAGAUACCCUGGUAGUCCAUGCCGUAAACGAUGAGUGCUAGGUGUUGGAGGGUUUCCGCCCUUCAGUGCCGGAGCUAACGCAUUAAGCACUCCGCCUGGGGAGUACGACCGCAAGGUUGAAACUCAAAGGAAUUGACGGGGGCCCGCACAAGCGGUGGAGCAUGUGGUUUAAUUCGAAGCUACGCGAAGAACCUUACCAGGUCUUGACAUCUUGCGCUAACCUUAGAGAUAAGGCGUUCCCUUCGGGGACGCAAUGACAGGUGGUGCAUGGUCGUCGUCAGCUCGUGUCGUGAGAUGUUGGGUUAAGUCCCGCAACGAGCGCAACCCUUGUUACUAGUUGCCAGCAUUAAGUUGGGCACUCUAGUGAGACUGCCGGUGACAAACCGGAGGAAGGUGGGGACGACGUCAGAUCAUCAUGCCCCUUAUGACCUGGGCUACACACGUGCUACAAUGGACGGUACAACGAGUCGCAAGCUCGCGAGAGUAAGCUAAUCUCUUAAAGCCGUUCUCAGUUCGGACUGUAGGCUGCAACUCGCCUACACGAAGUCGGAAUCGCUAGUAAUCGCGGAUCAGCAUGCCGCGGUGAAUACGUUCCCGGGCCUUGUACACACCGCCCGUC
rnacentral:rRNA from 1 species